AUUGAACGCUGGCGGCAUGAUUUACACAUGCAAGUCGAACGGUAACAGGCCGCAAGGUGCUGACGAGUGGCGCACGGGUGAGUAAUGCAUCGGAACGUGCCCAGUCGUGGGGGAUAACUACUCGAAAGAGUAGCUAAUACCGCAUACGAUCUAUGGAUGAAAGCGGGGGACCGUAAGGCCUCGCGCGAUUGGAGCGGCCGAUGUCAGAUUAGGUAGUUGGUGGGGUAAAGGCUCACCAAGCCAACGAUCUGUAGCUGGUCUGAGAGGACGACCAGCCACACUGGGACUGAGACACGGCCCAGACUCCUGCGGGAGGCAGCAGUGGGGAAUUUUGGACAAUGGGCGCAAGCCUGAUCCAGCAAUGCCGCGUGCAGGAAGAAGGCCUUCGGGUUGUAAACUGCUUUUGUACGGAACGAAACGGCUCUGGUUAAUACCCGGGGCUAAUGACGGUACCGUAAGAAUAAGCACCGGCUAACUACGUG
rnacentral:rRNA from 1 species